rnacentral:misc_RNA from 1 species
AAGUCGUAACAAGGUUUCCGUAGGUGAACCUGCGGAAGGAUCAUUAAUAAAAUAAUGAUUUUUUGGGGUUUUUAAAAUUCCAAAAAAUAAUUCACCUUUUGUGCACUGUUAUAAGAUAUACUUUGGUUAGAGCUUUUGAUUUUAUUUUUUGAAAUCAACUUCUUGCUGACUCUAUCCUUUCUGAGGACAGUUGGCUAUGAAGCGGCCUACCAAGGUUUUUUAUCAAACACAUUUAAUUUAUCUGACCUAAAUCAUUAUAAUUAAAUCAUAACUUUCAACAACGGAUCUCUUGGCUCUC